rnacentral:rRNA from 1 species
UUGAAUUGAAGAGUUUGAUCAUGGCUCAGAUUGAACGCUGGCGGCAGGCUUAACACAUGCAAGUCGAACGGUAGCAGGAGGAAGCUUGCUUUCUUGCUGACGAGUGGCGGACGGGUGAGUAAUGCUUGGGAAUCUGGCUUAUGGAGGGGGAUAACGACGGGAAACUGUCGCUAAUACCGCGUAGUAUCGGAAGAUGAAAGUGCGGGACUGUAAGGCCGCAUGCCAUGAGAUGAGCCUAAGUGGGAUUAGGUAGUUGGUGGGGUAAAGGCCUACCAAGCCUGCGAUCUCUAGCUGGUCUGAGAGGAUGACCAGCCACACUGGAACUGAGACACGGUCCAGACUCCUACGGGAGGCAGCAGUGGGG